UGCCUGCCUCCUAACAGCAUCCUGGUUCCUGAUGCUCCUGCUUUUGGCCACCUUACCACAUGGAAACAUCCCUCUCAAACUUCAAAUGUCUUCCCCUGGGUACUGCAGAAACCCUGGACAGGAGAUCAAUGCUCAGUGCCAGCACAGGAGACCUGUCUGAACAUCGUGGCAGAGAUCCCAUGCAGCUGCCAAGUGAACUUUGUAACAGACCAGGCAAGGUCAAAGAAAACCAACAAAAUGACGUGCAGGGCACUAAGCAGUGCCAGGUACAGGAUCAGCUGUGCACCGGGAAUCGCUCCCCUGCUCUGAUAACCACCAGUGACAAUGGUAGGAAUUAGGUUACCUCAAUAAUAUUUCUUCAGGACAAGUGUCAGAUCUGACUGAGGAAAUCUGUUUUCUUGUGGUGUGGUUGGUUCUGCCUUGAUCAGGGCUUUUUGUUCCCUUCCUGUGAGGAUUUAUAUUCACUGACUCUGAAAUAUUUCCAUGUCCAUGCUAUUUAAAGGACGUUUUCCCAUGAACACCUUACUGUAGCUGCAAAAAACCCACUCAACCAACCCAAAGGAGGAAUGAACAUCACUGACAUUUUACUUUUAAGGUUGAUUGGUUGGUUUGGUUUUUUUUUCAGUGUUAUUUAAUUGCAUCAGGUAUUAAGUAAGAAAAUAUAUCCACCUUUUUUUGGGGUGUGCAUGUCUUGCUGCCAGACAGACAUUGAAAUACAGAAGUCAUUUGGUUGGAAUGUCCAAAUUUAAGGUGGUAGAUUUGCCAGUGAGUAAGGUCUGGCCUGAGUUAUGGGUAUGAGGAACAGUCUGAGUUCAAAC